rnacentral:lncRNA from 1 species
UAACUAUUCAAGCUCUUUAUUGUUUUUCUUAUGCACCUCUGACUUGCCCUUGUACAACCUGUACACUGAAACCUGCAAAACUGGGAAUAAGGGAGAGGGAUGAGCUCUAUAGCCCAGUGAGUAGAACAAUAAAACCUGUCAUUAAAACAUGAUCUUAUGGAAUGCAUCAUAUCACAGACAAUUCACAUCUAGGGUAAACCUGUCACCACAUAGUCCCAGUAUCUAAUCC